AUUGAACGCUGGCGGCAGGCCUAACACAUGCAAGUCGAACGAGUGGCGGACGGGUGAGUAAUGUAUUGGAAACUGCCUGAUGGAGGGGGAUAACUACUGGAAACGGUAGCUAAUACCGCAUACCAUCGGAUGUGCCCAGAUGGGAUUAGCUAGUAGGGGGGGUAAAGGCCUACCAAGGCGACGAUCCGUAACUGGGCUGAGAGGAUGGUCAGUCACACUGGAACUGGGACACGGUCCAGAGUCCUACGGGAGGCAGGAUUUGGGAAUAUUGGACAAUGGGCGAAAGCCUUAUCCAGCCAUUCCGCGUUUGUGAAGAAGGUCUUCGGGUUGUAAAGCACUUUAAUUUGGGAGGCGUUACCAACAGAAUAAGCACCGGCUAACUUCGUGCCAGCCGCCGCGGUAAUAC
rnacentral:rRNA from 1 species